rnacentral:rRNA from 1 species
UACGGAGGGGGCUAGCGUUGUUCGGAAUUACUGGGCGUAAAGCGCACGUAGGCGGCUUUGUAAGUUAGAGGUGAAAGCCCGGGGCUCAACUCCGGAAUUGCCUUUAAGACUGCAUCGCUAGAAUUGUGGAGAGGUAAGUGGAAUUCCGAGUGUAGAGGUGAAAUUCGUAGAUAUCGGGAGGAACAUCAGUGGCGAAGGCGGCUGCCUGGCCCAAUACUGACACUCAGGUGCGACAGCGUGGGGAGCAAACAGG